AGUGAACGCUGGCGAUAGGCCUAACACAUGCAAGUCGAACGGCAGCACAGUAAGAGCUUGCUCUUACGGGUGGCGAGUGGCGGACGGGUGAGGAAUACAUCGGAAUCUACUUUUUCGUGGGGGAUAACGUAGGGGAAACUUACGCUAAUACCGCAUACGACCUACGGGUGAAAGCAGGGGAUCUUCGGACCUUGCGCGAUUGAAUGAGCCGAUGUCGGAUUAGCUAGUUGGCGGGGUAAAGGCCCACCAAGGCGACGAUCCGUAGCUGGUCUGAGAGGAUGAUCAGCCACACUGGAACUGAGACACGGUCCAGACUCCUACGGGAGGCAGCAGUGGGGAAUAUUGGACAAUGGGCGCAAGCCUGAUCCAGCCAUACCGCGUGGGUGAAGAAGGCCUUCGGGUUAAAGCCCUUUUGUUGGGAAAGAAAAGCAGCAGGUUAAUACCCCGCUGUUCUGACGGUACCCAAAGAAUAAGCACCGGCUAACUUCGUG
rnacentral:rRNA from 1 species